ACUAAGUGAUGAAAUACCGACACAUGCGCGUCAUCUGAUGCUGUGAAAGGUGCAGAGUUGAAGUUCAGUGCCGUGUUUUAUGUGUGCUGCAAUAUUCGAUUUUGUGUCCUGAAACAGUGUUAAUGAUUAUUAAGUGUCUCUGAAAUU
rnacentral:snoRNA from 1 species